UACGGGGGGAGCAAGCGUUGUUCGGAUUUACUGGGCGUAAAGGGCGCGUAGGCGGCCAGCACAAGUCAGUUGUGAAAUCUCCGGGCUUAACUCGGAAAGGUCAACUGAUACUGUGCGGCUAGAGUGCAGAAGGGGCAACUGGAAUUCUCGGUGUAGCGGUGAAAUGCGUAGAUAUCAGGAAGAACACCAACGGCGAAGGCAGCUCGCUAGGACGGUACUGACGCUGAGACGCGAAAGCGUGGGGAGCGAACAGG
rnacentral:rRNA from 1 species